CCUGGAAAGCACCAAUUGGCUUUCUCUAUGAAUUUGACUACUCUCCGUGUCUCAUCUACUCUGGCAGAUUAGAGAUGUCUGCAAAGUCACUGACUCCUCCCAUCAGACGUGGGGCCUUCAUCGUUUCCGCUUGAAUCUGGGCGGCAGGAUCUGGGACCGCUUGACCAACACAUCAUGAUGAAACUGACCUGUGCUAGUUUCAGGGCCCAGGGUUUGAGAGACUCACAGCUACCAUGCCUGACUUUCGGUCCUCAUGCCUGUGGAGCCCUGAGCUGAAUGGAAGGAGCCUCACUGCCCAGAGGCUGCCUUGCUGACGAGGCCACAUGUGGGAGCCCUGGCUAGGAGCUCCAGCUGAGCUCAGCCCUCCAGCCGUCCCCGCUGGGGCACCACAUAUGUGCGUGAAGCUGUCUCAGAUCUUCCAAUCCAGCCCAUUCACCAGUCGAAUGCCACCAAGUGACCUCAGUCGCUGAUGCCCAGAACAAAAGAAUCACCCAAAUGAACACUGUUGGAAUUCCUGACCCCCAAAACCAGAGAGCCUUGGGACCAUUGUGAUCAACCGUCUCCUGGACAGUUGAAGCCUGACAUGAAGACAAACCUCAGGAUGGUCUGGCCAACAGUGCCCGUUCAGACUUCAUCCAGAAUCACUUCUCCAAAAGGAAAUGAUUGACUCACAAUGGUUUCAGGGAUGGCUGGGUCUCGGUGCUCCAGUGAGCGUCCCGAAGACCCGUUCCCUACCCGCUCCCAGUUUACCACCCCCCCACUCCCC